ensembl:snRNA U6 U6 spliceosomal RNA
GUGCUUGCUUUGGCAGCACAUAUACUAAAAUUGGAAUGAUACAGAGAAGAUUAGCAUGGCCCCUGCAUUAGGAUGACACACAAAUUUGUGAAACAUUCCAUAUUUUU